rnacentral:rRNA from 1 species
CCAGCAGCCGCGGUAAUUCCAGCUCCAAUAGCGUAUAUUAAAGUUGUUGCAGUUAAAAAGCUCGUAGUUGGAUUUCUGGGAGGGUGCCAAUGUCCGCUUGUUGCGUGUGCAGCGGCGCCCUCCCAUCCUUCUGUUAACGUUUCUGAUAUUCACUUAUUGGUCUCGGGCUCAGAUAUUUUACCUUGAGAAAAUUAGAGUGUUCCAGGCAGGCUUGCGCCGGAAUACAUUAGCAUGGAAUAAUAGAAUAGGACUUUAGUCUCCUUUGUUGGUUUGAGGGACUGAAGUAAUGAUUAAUAGGGAUAGUUGGGGGCAUUAGUAUUUAAUUGUCAGAGGUGAAAUUCUCGGAUUUGUUAAAGACUAACUUAUGCGAAAGCAUUUGCCAAGGAUGUU